AUUUAGGUUGUUUGUUGAAGAGGAAUUUUAGGUUAUUUCAAAGCUAUAUAUAUAUUAACUAGUCUUUUGUUGAAAGAAAUAGAUAGAUACAGUAGAUCGGAAGCUGCUAUGGCAAUGGCAAUGGCAUCAUCAAGCAGAAAAAGAAUGGCGUCGUCAGAUAUACCCAAUGAUUGCUGGGAGUUGGUGGUAUCUAAACUCCUGAACGAUAACGAGAUCGAUAAAGUGGAGGAGCGUAAUCAUUAUUUAGAGACACUAUCUAUGGUAUCAAAACAACUACUCUCAAUAAGCAGCACUUUUGUGAAUACCUUCAAAUUAAUUUCAAAUCCAUCAUCUCGCCUCUUCCACAGGUUCACAAACCUAACCUCCCUCGAUCUCUCCACUUUCCACGGCGGCGACAUCAACGCACUUCUCUCCCGAAUCCCUCCCGCUUCUGUUUCCCGACUCACAUCCCUUAACCUCUCUAACCACCCGACCUUCCCCAAAUUAGGGUUACAAUCUAUUAUUCUCAAUAAUAACAACAACAACCCUACAUUCAGAUUGACCUCUCUCAUCUGUUCAAAUAUUGCUUCUCUCAAAUUUACUGAUAUAACCUUCAUUGCACAUUCCUUUCCGUUUCUCCAACAUUUGGAUAUCAGUUUCGACGGAGGAGGAGACGACGACUGCAUCAAGGAGGAUUAUAACAAUGCUCUAAAUCUUGUUGCCAGAAAGCUUUCGAAUCUCCUCAAAGUUAAUCUCUCAGGUAAUGUCUACGUUAAUGAUUCGUCGUUACUUGAACUAUGUAUCAACUGUGAGUUUCUACAAGAGGUGCUUAUAUUGCAUUGCCCUUUGAUAACACAUGCUGGUAUUGCUUUUGCAAUACGCCGCAGACCUAGUUUGAAUUCGCUUUCUAUUAGUAACUUUAGGGAGGAUCCAACACAAAUUGAUGACUUUACAUCCUAUUUCAUUGAUUCAUUGGCCACUUUGAAGAACUUAACUUGUCUUGAUUUGUCUUUUUCGGGUAUCUCUGAUGUGUUGCUUUACUCUAUAGCACUUGAUCAUCUUCCUUUGAGGAAACUUGUUCUCCAAGGUUGCUAUAAUUAUACUUACACUGGUAUCUCUUAUCUCUUGUCCAAGCGUCCGUCUCUGCAACAUCUAGAUCUUCGACACGCAGUGUUUUUGGAUGACCAGCGUUUCAACCACCUCUGCCAAUUUUUUGGUGAAUUGGUGUCUAUUAAUGUCGGUUGCUGUGACAAGCUCACCAAUUCAUCCUUCUUUGCACUCCUUACCAACUGUCCUAUGCUCGCCGAGAUCAGAAUGGAGUCCACAAAAAUUGGAAUUGGUCCAACACCGUCCGUGGUGGAUUUGGUUGUAUACCCUCAAGUCAAGUCUCUCCAUUUGGCUUACAAUUCAGCUUUGGCAGACAAACACAUCAACAUCUUUGGUUUCAUGUUUCCUAAAUUGCAACUUCUUGAUUUGAGCUUUUGCCGUCACAUAUCUCAACAACAUAUUGCUAUACUAUUAAAGAGAUGUAAUAAGAUCAGGCAUUUGGAAUUUGCCUGUUUCCCACAAGCUAAGCCAUUUUCCAUCGACUUUGAUGAAGCUUCCAACCUGGAGGUGCUGAACUUGUCGCACUCAACAAUUGAAGAUGAAGAACUGUAUGAAAUCUCAAAGUUUUUCCCUCGCCUUCUGCAACUCGACCUGGGACAUUGUUAUGAUGUCACGGACAAGGGAGUUGGGCUAGCUGUAGAAAACUUCACACACCUCAGAGAGAUUAAUUUGCGACAAUGUCGUAAAGUGUCUACUAAUAUCGUUUCCUCAAUGAUAUUUUCCAGGCCGUCAUUGAGAAAAAUAACGGCUCCGCCUCAUUUUCGCCCCCGUGACUGUGAUAGGAAACUCCUCUUUCGACAAUGUCUAGUUUUCUAGUAUUCUGAUCCUCAUUCAUCUUGGCAGAGCUUUGAAAUCUAUAUUGAGGGAUAUAACAUCUGAUCGCUACGGUAGAAAACCUAUUAUAAUUAGAGGGGUUAUUAGCACAGUGUAAGUAUAUAUAUAUGUCAUGUGAAGGGAUCCUUUUCUUUGCCUUCAAGCUAGCUAGACUCUUUAUGUUUUGCUAUGACCACAAUGGUGUUUGCUUGAUUUCUGUGUCGUUUUCAACACGUUGUUUGGUGAGUUAACCCUCUGACUUGUGAGUUAUUGUUAAAAACAAAAAAAAUUAUUGAAUCUCUGUAGGUCAUCCAUAUUUUAAAUAAGCCUUGCUUAAAAAGGUGCAUUUCUACAUAUCUUAUCAGGCUGUGUUGUUUGGUCUUGUGAUGGUGUGGUUCUAUUUUGUUUUGGGUGUCUUGCUGCGUCGUUUUAAUCGUACUGUAUUGAUUUUAAAUGUCAUUUAAUAUAAUUUUGUAGAUAUAUAUUAUUUGAUCCUUCUAGGUGUAACUCAUGUGAUGCCAUGGUUUUCAUAUAUAAAACAUGUAGUUAGUCAUCAGUAUUCAGUAUAUGUUGGUAAGUGCUAAAUGUAUAUACUUAUAAUGAAUGUUUGGCAUAUACUUCUUUUUUAUAUAUCUAUCUGUCAACAAUCACCAUUAUCCUAGGCAAGUCGAGUUUUCAUUGUUAAUUAAGCUUUAAAUUAAAUAUAAGACUCGAUCCAUAUUAUCAUUGAACCAAAACCUAUUAGCACGGACCAUGUUGGAAAAACUUAAAUAGAACUUAUUAAAAGUAGGUUCCACGAGUUCCUUGUGCAAAGCUUCCUUGUUGCUUGAAAUUGAAAUUUUGUUAGUGAUCAUAGUGUUAUGUUUCAAUAGCUAACACAUUCACCCAAAUGCCAUUCCAAGUAUAGAAUCAGAUUCCAUAGUUGCUUCUGGUAGAGAUCUUAGACAUGGUUUUAUAUAUUUGGCGAAUAAUUAUUUGUUUCCUCUUAUUUUCAGGAUAGGGAUGUCUUGUAGCUACUUAUGGUUUGAAUAUGAAUGUGCUUCAGGGUGUUUUUUUUCUUCUUAUAUUAUUAUUAUUAUUAUUAUUAUUAUUAUUAUUAUUAUUAUUAUUAUUAUUAUUAUUAUUAUUAUUAUUAUGAUUGUUGUUGUUGUCAACCCUUAAUGUAUUAAAAUCUUGCAUAAAUUUGCUGUCUUCUGUCCAUUAUGCAGAUUUGUUUGGAGUAUCAUGUCCAUGUGGUUGCCUUCUUGCUAUUGGCAUGAGAAUCUCCUAUUUCUAGGUAUUGUCGUGUUGCUUAGUCUUGUGAUGGUGUGGUUCUAUUUUGUUUUGGGUGUCUUGCUGCAUCAUUUUAAUCGUCCUGUAUUGGUUUUAAAUGUUUUUGCAGUGUUCAUGUAUGUAUCUUUGUAGCUAAUUAUGCAUUGUUUAGCCAAAACAAGUUUAGAUUAUCUGCUUUUUUUUAUAGGUUGAGUAUUGUCUAAGAUUUGUAUCUUGCAGAGUAUGGAUAAAUGUCCACUACAUACAAUAUAGAUUCUCUGCAUUUUUUAACAGGUAAUUGGCUAGUCAACGUGGUUUUCUGAGUAUCUUUUCCUGGAGAGAAGUUGGGCCAAGGAUGAAAACACAUUGAAACUUAUUUGCUGUCAGGUAUAAAGCGGUUGAGUGAUUUCCCUCUUCCUUUUUGGUUGGCUCUCUUCGUAGAAAGAACACAUUUUACAAAUGUCAAACUAUUAGCUGCUCAUGAAUAUGCAACCUCCACUGGAUUGCCUGUUCCUAGAAACUAAGGUG